rnacentral:tRNA from 1 species
GGACCGAUAGCUCAGUUGGAUAGAGCACGGGUCUUCUAAACCCGGUGUCGUGAGUUCGAAUCUCACUCGGUUCA